CCUAAAUGCCCAGGAGAUGUUGACUUUCAUAAUAGUGACUGGGACAUUAAGACAAUCACCAGCUCCUUGAAAUUCUACCUCAGGAAUCUUUCUGAACCUGUCAUGACCUAUAGACUACAUAAAGAGCUGGUCUCUGCUGCCAAGUCUGACAACCUGGAUUAUCGACUGGGAGCUAUUCACUCCUUGGUAUAUAAGCUACCAGAAAAGAACCGGGAGAUGCUGGAACUUCUUAUAAGACACUUGGUCAAGUAAGUAAAUUCUGGGGUUUCAUAAAGAGUUCAUAUUAGAGGACUGGCUCACAUGGUAGCACUGCAAAGAAAUUUCCUGUCAUAUCUAAUUCCAAGUCCUCAAUUGCUUCAUCCUGUACAUGCUGAGUGUUCUUUAAGGAAGAUGAAUUUGCCUGGAUCCUAGUCUGUGUUGUCCCAAA